UCUACACGUAGCGAAGUUCCGGACCUUGGUUUCGACAGACGCACUGUGCAAAGCACGAUGAACCACCUGUUUGGAAUGGACCUUCUGACUGUCGUUGCCAUCGCAAUUGCUUUGAUCAUCAUGGCUCCGAAUGAAGCUGUCGCGCUCGGUGGAGCUGUCGGAGCAGGCCAAGGUAUCGGCAAGAAGUGAAUUAUUGUGCGACCUUAGUCUAGCGACUCCAUUCUUGUCGUGCUCUGGAUGACCAGCUCGUCUGCAAUAAAAUGCACUUUGAAAAUGUGGU